CCUACGGGGGGCAGCAGUGGGGAAUAUUGGACAAUGGGGGCAACCCUGAUCCAGCCAUGCCGCGUGUGUGAAGAAGGCCCUCGGGUUGUAAAGCACUUUCAGUGAGGAAGAACGCCUGGUGGUUAAUACCCAUCAGGAAAGACAUCACUCACAGAAGAAGCACCGGCUAACUCCGUGCCAGCAGCCGCGGUAAUACGGAGGGUGCGAGCGUUAAUCGGAAUUACUGGGCGUAAAGCGCGCGUAGGUGGCUUGAUAAGCCGGUUGUGAAAGCCCCGGGCUCAACCUGGGAACGGCAUCCGGAACUGUCAAGCUAGAGUGCAGGAGAGGAAGGUAGAAUUCCCGGUGUAGCGGUGAAAUGCGUAGAGAUCGGGAGGCAUACCAGUGGCGAAGGCGGCCUUCUGGACUGACACUGACACUGAGGUGCGAAAGCGUGGGUAGCAAACAGGAUUAGAUACCCCAGUAGUC
rnacentral:rRNA from 1 species